rnacentral:rRNA from 1 species
UGGGGAAUAUUGCACAAUGGGCGCAAGCCUGAUGCAGCCAUGCCGCGUGUGUGAAGAAGGCCUUCGGGUUGUAAAGCACUUUCAGCGAGGAGGAAGGUGGUGAGCUUAAUACGCUCAUCAAUUGACGUUACUCGCAGAAGAAGCACCGGCUAACUCCGUGCCAGCAGCCGCGGUAAUACGGAGGGUGCAAGCGUUAAUCGGAAUUACUGGGCGUAAAGCGCACGCAGGCGGUUUGUUAAGUCAGAUGUGAAAUCCCCGGGCUCAACUUGGGAACUGCAUUUGAAACUGGCAAGCUAGAGUCUCGUAGAGGGGGGUAGAAUUCCAGGUGUAGCGGUGAAAUGCGUAGAGAUCUGGAGGAAUACCGGUGGCGAAGGCGGCCCCCCUGGACGAAGACUGACGCUCAGGUGCGAAAGCAUGGGGGAGCAAAACAGGAUUAGAUACCCUGGUAGUCCACGCUGUAAACGAUGUCGAUUUGGAGGUUGUGCCCCUUGAGGCGUGGCUUCCGGAGCCAACGCGUUAAAUUCGACCGCCUGGGGGAGUACGGCCGCAAGGUUAAAAAC